CAGUCGCCGCGGGAAUACGUAGGGCGCAAGCGUUAUCCGGAAUUAUUGGGCGUAAAGAGCUCGUAGGCGGUUUGUCGCGUCUGCCGUGAAAGUCCGGGGCUCAACCCCGGAUCUGCGGUGGGUACGGGCAGACUAGAGUGAUGUAGGGGAGACUGGAAUUCCUGGUGUAGCGGUGAAAUGCGCAGAUAUCAGGAGGAACACCGAUGGCGAAGGCAGGUCUCUGGGCAUUAACUGACGCUGAGGAGCGAAAGCAUGGGGAGCGAACAGGAUUAGAUACCCCCGUAGUCCCUGUCUCUUAUAC
rnacentral:rRNA from 1 species